rnacentral:tRNA from 1 species
UCCUUUCUAAGGAUAUCGGCAGAAAGCGCUGACAGGCCCGCAUCUUAUGGUGCCACCCUGUCGGAAGAGCUUCUUCCAUUCCAAAGAACAUUAGCCGCCGUCCUCAUGUCCCUUCAUCACUAGGUUAGUCCAUAAGACGAGACAGCAUCCGCUGUUUUGGUUAUGGGCAAGCUCGGCCAGCGCGCGAAGCGCGCCCCUGGGUCCCAUCAAAGUACUACUUUGAUGGGGGCCCUAUUAGGCGCAGUUCAGCUGCGUCUGACGGGCGCAGCGGGUGUGGGCCUGUAGCUCAGUUGGUUAGAGCGCACCCCUGAUAAGGGUGAGGUCGGUGGUUCGAAUCCACCUAGGCCCACCACACACAAGUGCGUUUGGGGCCUUAGCUCAGCUGGGAGAGCGGUUGCUUUGCAAGCAUCAGGUCAUCGGUUCGAUCCCGAUAGGCUCCACCAUUUCGCAGGAGACGAGACGAGGCAGCAAAGCUGCCGCGCACGUCCCCAAGAACGGCCAGCGCUGCAAAGCGCGCCCGAGGGUCCCAUCAAAGUAUUACUUUGAUGGGUGCCCCACAGGGCGCAGCUUAGCUGCGACUGACGGGCUCGCGGAAUGCGCACCAUCAGCACAACCUAGAGAUGAAGAGAAACGGUUCGCCGCACGAGAGUGCGGUGAUUGACGGGCACGCCCGUCGUAUUUGACAUUGUGAAUGGGUUUUUUAAAAUCGAUGCCGUGAGGUGCUCGAUUUUGGGGACGAGGAUUGCUUCGGCGGUUCGUGAGCGCUUCGGCGUCAGCGAGCUAAGCGAGCGGUUCGAGGCUCCAGAUAUCGACAUCAUCAUACUAAUAAUCUGGCUGAGAUUAUAAUCAUCCGCACCUGACAAAGGCCAACGCGCACUGCUCUGCCGAGUUGGUGACCUCCUCUGGAGGCACCCAGUGAUGUCGUUGGUGGUGUGGACUCUCAAGCGUGAGGUAAGGGCAAUUCGUGGAUGCCUUGGCACAUACAGGCGAUGAAGGACGUGGCACGCUGCGAUAAGCGUUC